GUGCCAGCAGCCGCGGUAAUACGUAGGUGGCAAGCGUUGUCCGGAUUUAUUGGGCGUAAAGGGAGCGCAGGCGGUUAAAUAAGUCUGGGAUGUGAAAGCCCUCAGCUCAACUGAGGAAUUGCAACGGAAACUGUUUAACUUGAGUGCAGAAGAGGAGAGUGGAACUCCAUGUGUAGCGGUGAAAUGCGUAGAUAUAUGGAAGAACACCAGUGGCGAAGGCGGCUCUCUGGUCUGUUACUGACGCUGAGGCUCGAAAGCAUGGGUAGCGAACAGGAUUAGAUACCCUGGUAGUCCAUGCCGUAAACGAUGAGUGCUAAGUGUUGGGAGGUUUCCGCCUCUCAGUGCUGCAGCUAACGCAUUAAGCACUCCGCCUGGGGAGUACGACCGCAAGGUUGAAACUUAAAGAAAUUGACGG
rnacentral:rRNA from 1 species